AUGAGCAUAUCUUCAGGUGUCUUGAGCUCAGGCUGGAGACUCCUUCAGCAGCAGGACACGCUCAGGAAAGAUUCUGGAGUGUUUCUGUGGGAUUUUUUGGGGGAAUGUUGGACUGAACCAUUCCAGCACAUCCCAAAGCUGUUGGAUGGUUUGAGGUCUGGGUGGACCAAUCCAGUUCUUCCACACCAAACUCAUCCAACCGUGUCUUAUGGAGUGUCUUUGUGCACUGGGGCUCAGUCAUGCUGGAAUAGAAAAGGGUCUUCCCCAAACUGAUCCCACAAAGAUGGAAGCAUAGUAUUGUCCAAAAUGCCUUGAUAUGCUAAAGCAUUAAGAUUUCCUUUCAGUGGAAGUAAGAGGCCUAUCCCAACCCCUGAACAACAGCCCCAUCCCAUUAUCUUUACAGCUGGCACAGGGAACCAUGUCCUGGUAUCCAUCAAACCCAGACUCGCCCAUCAGACUGUGACAGAACAGGUUUCCUCUGCUCCAGAGUCCAGUAUCUGCGUGCUUUACACACUUCAUCCUACCGGGCUCAGCAUUGGUGAUGUGAGGCUUUCCUGCAGCUGUUGAAACCCAUCCCAUGAAGCUCCCGCCGCACAGUUUUUGUGCUGAUAUUAAUGCCAGUGGACGUUCAGCUGUGUAAUCAGCAGAGCGUUGGUGACUUUUACUCUCCGUGUACUUCAGCACUCUGUGACUUUACCUUCUGCUUCGAGGCUGGGAUGCUGCUGUUCCUCAACACUUUCCAAUAAUACUACUAGAUGUUUGUGGAAUAUCUAUCAGACAGUGUUGGGGGUAAUGCAUUACACAUAAUGCAAAUUACGUAAUCAGAUUACCUUUUUCAAGUAACUAGUAAAGUAACAGCACAGCUGAAAGGUUUGUUUGAGCUGCACCCUCGACUGUACAGACGCCAAACUACAAUUCCUUCAGCCUGAGGCUCAUUCAUUCACUUCUGGUGUGAAAGGCUUUUAAAUUUGCCAAAAAUAUGGUAGCACUUUAUUUUACAGUCCUGUUCCUCAUGUACAUACUAUGUACUUAUUUUAGUAAUUACAAUAACUAUGUAAUAACUAGGUACUAACCCUGAACCUACCCCUAAACCUAACCCUACCCCAUGUAGUUACCUUGUAUUACCAGAACUUUCUUAGAUAAAUACACUGUAAGUGCACUAUAAGUACAUAUAAGUACACGUACUGUAAAAUAAAGUGCAACCUAUAACAUUUUUAUAUUAAAAA
ensembl:lncRNA